CAGCAUAGACGUCUAUGUUUAACAGUGGUGCAAAAGAUGGGAUCUACCUGCCGGUUCGGAGACUAGUUGUGCUUCCUCUUCGCUCUCUCUUAUAUAUGCACACUGGCGUGGAGGGAUAGAAGAACAAUCCACAGCUAUCAACGGGCCCAUGUGAGCAAGCCCCGAUCUCUCCCCCGCCAGCCAUCAGCUUGUGCACUUCACCUUCAAGCUCAUUUACAGUGUCAACUUCUCAAGCAGAAGCUUUGCCCUCAUGGUGCACUCCGUUACCUUGGCCCAGCUGGUCCUGGGACGUGUUGCCUACUGUCAAUUCCCUGCCUGCGUCGUAAUGAGUUGUGAGGGUGUCUUGAGUGCCCCUAAUGUUAGAAAGAAGCAUGCAAGGCUAGGCAAAGUAAGUGCAGGAGGCCUCCAAAAGGAAACAGCUGUUGUGGUGCCAUGAAACAGGUGGUCCCAUCUUUUUUAGAUUAACCAGAAUUGCUGCCGCCAGUUUCCUUACGGCCCUGAUGUUCAUUCAUGGCAUGAUUGCUGAUGGGGGAGUUUACGAGCCACCUCUGGCUGCAUGCUGAUGCCUGGAUCUCUGUGCCAAAGCUUUUUCUGUCCUCUCCUUCAACGACUCAUUUCAGAGCUUAACGAAGAGGCUGAUACGAAACAUGGAGAAGGGCCCUCGAGCAUUGGAUUUACCCAAGGCCGUCCAACGUCAGCCGCUGCCUCAUAAACAUGAACAUGGUGUCAUGGUGACUCAAAGCCAGGCUAAUCCACCAUCACCAGAGAUGGAAUCAGAUUGGGGAUUUUCAUCUUGUUAUCUUUGCCUUCAUCAGCAUGAGUAUGCCUUUGGCUUUGGGCAAUUCCUCCAGGGGAUGGAAGGAGCCACCGUCAUUUAUUUCUUGGAAGGAGCUAUUGCAGUGCUCGCUGCAGAGUUGCCAUGGAGAUCUGCCUCCGUGUUUCACAAGAAUGAUAGCAAAAUUGUGUUGAAAGGAUAAAUCCAUCUCCAGCUGAAAGAAGGGGACAAAUGAAAUGCGAAAACACUUCAUGGCUACACUACAGCACAAUUAGCAGCCAUUACCAAACCUCACCGAACGUGACACUUUCAUUGCUUUGAGUGCAAGAGCAAGUAAUCAGCCUGUGCUGUUUGCGGAUCAUUCGGAAAGAGAGCGUAUCCUCAAGCGUCCUCGGAAACCAGCUAUGGUGGUUAAGUCUUCCGUGCCGGUCCCCUGUUGGUGGGAGGAUGACUCAUGCUCAGAGUGACCUUCUGUCAUACCGCCCUCAAUAAUAUUGACAGAGGCUUGCCUGUGGUCCUUACAUUCAUCUUCAUUAGCACUUGGCUUUAAGCAUCAAUGUCAGUGUCCACUCCUGGGAGGCCUCCACUGCUAUCUCUGCUUCUGUCUGCCCUAGCCACCACAUCUUUCAUCCUCUUCCUGCCAUUGCUUAGCUUAGAGGGAGCUCAAUCAGACUAUCAUCUGAGACAUGUUUGCCUGCAAUCUGCCCUUUUUACUUGGGAAAACUAGGGCAAAGAGGAGGAAAACAUCGAUCUACAAAGAUAAUUGCUUAAAGGAAUAGUUCACCUCAAAAAUAGAAUUUGCCAUCAUUUAUUCACCCUUAUGUCGUCCCAAACCUGACUGACUGACUUACUUUCUUCUGUGGAACACAAAUAUGUAUAUAUGUAUAUUUAUAUUUAUAUUUAUGAAUAUAUUGUGGUGAGCGUAAGAGACUUUCUCAAAGACAUAAAAAAGACUUUUGAACACUUUUGUAUAUUCCAAGUCUUCUGAAGCUGUACGAUAACUUAGUGUGAGGAAUAAACUAGAAUUUAAUUUGUUAUUUAAUGAAGUCUUCCCCUCUACUGCAGCUCUCAAAUAUGGUGCCAUUAGAGGUAUUUAACAAGCAAUUAUGUUUGGAUGUUCUUCAGGACCAAGAUAUUAUUCCUUAUUUCACAGUUUUAGUUCCACAGACGAAAGAAAGUCAUAGAGGUUUGGAGCGACAUGAGGGUGAAUUAAUUUUUUUUAGGUGAACUAUACCUUUAAUUUUGCUGUAACUU